rnacentral:rRNA from 1 species
ACCGAGAUUCCCCCAGUAGCGGCGAGCGAACGGGGAGCAGCCCGGAGUCUGAAUCAGCUUGUGUGUUAGUGGAACGGUCUGGAAAGUCCGACGGUACAGGGUGAUAGUCCCGUACACGAAAACACACAGGUUGUGAACUCGAAGAGUAGGGCGGGACACGUGGUAUCCUGUCUGAAUAUGGGGGGACCAUCCUCCAAGGCUAAAUACUCCUGACUGACCGAUAGUGAACCAGUACCGUGAGGGAAAGGCGA